AAGGCGGGUACGUUAAUAGCGUAUUCGUUUGACGUUAGCGACAGAAGAAGCCACCGGCUAACUCCGUGCCAGCAGCCGCGGUAAUACGGAGGGUGCGAGCGUUAAAUCGGAAUUACUGGGCGUAAAAGCGCAUGCAGGUGGUUUGUUAAGUCAGAUGUGAAAAGCCCGGGCUCAAACCUCGGAAAUAGCAUUUGAAAAACUGGCAGACUAGAGUACUGUAGAGGGGGUAGAAUUUCAGGUGUAGCGGUGAAAAUGCGUAGAGAUCUGAAGGAAUACCGGUGGCGAAGGCGGCCCCUGGACAGAUACUGACACUCAGAUGCGAAAGCGUGGGGAGCAAACAGGAUUAGAUACCCUGGUAG
rnacentral:rRNA from 1 species